rnacentral:rRNA from 1 species
GGGGGACCUUCGGGCCUCUUGCCAUCGGAUGUGCCCAGAUGGGAUUAGCUAGUAGGUGGGGUAACGGCUCACCUAGGCGACGAUCCCUAGCUGGUCUGAGAGGAUGACCAGCCACACUGGAACUGAGACACGGUCCAGACUCCUACGGGAGGCAGCAGUGGGGAAUAUUGCACAAUGGGCGCAAGCCUGAUGCAGCCAUGCCGCGUGUAUGAAGAAGGCCUUCGGGUUGUAAAGUACUUUCAGCGGGGAGGAAGGGAGUAAAGUUAAUACCUUUGCUCAUUGACGUUACCCGCAGAAGAAGCUCCGGCUAACUCAUUGGCAGCAGCCGC